rnacentral:rRNA from 1 species
GAUUAAGUUAUUAAGGGCGCACGGUGGAUGCCUUGGCACUAGAAGCCGAUGAAGGACGUUACUAACGACGAUAUGCUUUGGGGAGCUGUAAGUAAGCUUUGAUCCAGAGAUUUCCGAAUGGGGAAACCCAGCAUGAGUUAUGUCAUGUUAUCGAUAUGUGAAUACAUAGCAUAUCAGAAGGCACACCCGGAGAACUGAAACAUCUUAGUACCCGGAGGAAGAGAAAGAAAAUUCGAUUCCCUUAGUAGCGGCGAGCGAAACGGGAAGAGCCCAAACCAACAAGCUUGCUUGUUGGGGUUGUAGGACACUCUAUACGGAGUUACAAAGGACGACAUUAGACGAAUCAUCUGGAAAGAUGAAUCAAAGAAGGUAAUAAUCCUGUAGUCGAAAAUGUUGUCUCUCUUGAGUGGAUCCUGAGUACGACGGAGCACGUGAAAUUCCGUCGGAAUCUGGGAGGACCAUCUCCUAAGGCUAAAUACUCUCUAGUGACCGAUAGUGAACCAGUACCGUGAGGGAAAGGUGAAAAGCACCCCGGAAGGGGAGUGAAAUAGAACCUGAAACCGUGUGCUUACAAGUAGUCAGAGCCCGUUAAUGGGUGAUGGCGUGCCUUUUGUAGAAUGAACCGGCGAGUUACGAUUUGAUGCAAGGUUAAGCAGUAAAUGUGGAGCCGUAGCGAAAGCGAGUCUGAAUAGGGCGUUUAGUAUUUGGUCGUAGACCCGAAACCAGGUGAUCUACCCUUGGUCAGGUUGAAGUUCAGGUAACACUGAAUGGAGGACCGAACCGACUUACGUUGAAAAGUGAGCGGAUGAACUGAGGGUAGCGGAGAAAUUCCAAUCGAACCUGGAGAUAGCUGGUUCUCUCCGAAAUAGCUUUAGGGCUAGCCUCAAGUGAUGAUUAUUGGAGGUAGAGCACUGUUUGGACGAGGGGCCCCUCUCGGGUUACCGAAUUCAGACAAACUCCGAAUGCCAAUUAAUUUAACUUGGGAGUCAGAACAUGGGUGAUAAGGUCCGUGUUCGAAAGGGAAACAGCCCAGACCACCAGCUAAGGUCCCAAAAUAUAUGUUAAGUGGAAAAGGAUGUGGCGUUGCCCAGACAACUAGGAUGUUGGCUUAGAAGCAGCCAUCAUUUAAAGAGUGCGUAAUAGCUCACUAGUCGAGUGACACUGCGCCGAAAAUGUACCGGGGCUAAACAUAUUACCGAAGCUGUGGAUUGUCCUUUGGACAAUGGUAGGAGAGCGUUCUAAGGGCGUUGAAGCAUGAUCGUAAGGACAUGUGGAGCGCUUAGAAGUGAGAAUGCCGGUGUGAGUA